rfam:Camelus ferus unplaced genomic scaffold scaffold258, whole genome shotgun sequence.
GAGGGUAUAGCUCAGUGGUAGAGCAUGUAUUUAGCAAGCACAAGAUCCUGGGUUCAUUCCCCAGAAGCUCCA